GCAGCCGCGGUAAUUCCAGCUCCAAUAGCGUAUAUUAAAGUUGUUGUGGUUAAAAAGCUCGUAGUUGGAUCUCAACAGCCUUGAAGCGGUUAACUUUGUAGUUUUACUGCUUUAUAGGCUGUGCUUUUGCUGGAGGUUUAGGGGUGCUCUUGAUCGAGUGUCUCUGGAUGCCAGCAGGUUUACUUUGAAAAAAUUAGAGUGCUCAAAGCAGGCUAAAAUGCCUGAAUAUUCGUGCAUGGAAUAAUAGAAUAGGAUGUCGAUCCUAUUUUGUUGGUUUUCGGGACUCGACAUAAUGAUAAAUAGGGACAGUCGGGGGCAUUUGUAUUCAAACGACAGAGGUGAAAUUCUUGGACCGUUUGAAGACAAACUACUGCGAAAGCAUUUGCCAAGAAUGUUUUCAUUAAUCAAGAACGAAAGUUAGAGGUUCGAAGGCGAUUAGAUACCGCCCUAGUUCUAACCAUAAACGAUGCCAGCUAGCGAUCUGCCUGCGUUUUUACUGUAGACUGGGCAGGAAGCUUCCGGGAAACCAAAGCAUUUGGGUUCCAGGGGAAGUAUGGUUGCAAAGCUGAAACUUAAAGGAAUUGACGGAAGGGCACCACCAGGAGUGGAGCCUGUGGCUUAAUUUGACUCAACACGGGAAAUCUCACCAGGCCCGGACACUGGAAGGAUUGACAGAUUGAUAGCUCUUUCUUGAUUCGGUGGGUGGUGGUGCAUGGCCGUUCUUAGUUGGUGGAGUGAUUUGUCUGGUUAAUUCCGAUAACGAACGAGACUCUGUCCUGCUAAAUAGUUUCUACUUCUCUUUUGAGUAGAAAUUUCUUCUUAGAGGGACUGGUGACUCUUAGUCACACGAGAUUGAGCAAUAACAGGUCUGUGAUGCCCAAGG
rnacentral:rRNA from 1 species